GAAGCGCAUGUACCAGCGAUCUCCAUCAACCAACUAAGCUCUCAAUAAAAAAGUAGAGAAAACGAAUGGAUGCCCCAGUGCAACAGCGGCCAAAGAUCUUGUUUGCUAUCUUUUCUGUUGGAAAAAAGAAGAUUAAGCACGAAAUAGCCUGAAGGCAAGGUCUGCUAUUUCUGUACAGAAAAGUCCAUGUCAUAAUCAACAAGUCUGCGAUCUCAGACGAGUAAACUUUAGGCUCUUGAAAAUCCUAAAUUCAAAAAAAAAAAAAAAACCCAUAGAAUUAUCACUCAAAAGCCCGAAAUGCACUCUGAUCACACCUCACCUCACAUCUACUGACAGGGAGAAAAAAAAUGGAGUUCAAGGAAACAAAAAUCAUAAAAACAUUUUUUUAGAAAAAAGGAAUUCGGGUUUUCACCAAAAGAUCGAACAAAAAAUCAAAUUUUGUUUUCCAACAGAAGAUUAAUGCCUAUGUACUCAACAAAGCCAAAACCCACGGACCACCACCGCAACCCAUUCCCCUUGCAGUUCUCACCUCUCUCUCUCGAGAAUUAAAAAAAAAAAAAAAAACACGACCAUUGAACCAGUUUAAUAAAACCACAAACCACGGCAUAGCCGUCAACAAAGAAACGAUCCAGCUGCCAGGAGCAAAAAAAAAAAAAA